rnacentral:rRNA from 1 species
GAUGAACGCUAGCGGCAGGCCUAAUACAUGCAAGUCGAGGGAGAAUGUUGGAUUCGUCUGACAUGAAACCGGCGCACGGGUGCGUAACACGUAUGCAGCCUACCUUUAACUGGGGUAUAGCUCAGAGAAAUCUGAAUUAACCCCCCAUAAGACUACGACAUGGCAUCAUGAUGUAGUUAAAGCUCCGGCGGUUAAGGAUGGGCAUGCGGUACAUUAGCUAGUUGGUGAGGUAAUGGCUCACCAAGGCUACGAUGUAUAGGGGGUCUGAGAGGAUGAUCCCCCACACUGGUACUGAGACACGGACCAGACUCCUACGGGAGGCAGCAGUAGGGAAUAUUGGUCGAUGGACGCAAGUCUGAACCAGCCAUGCCGCGUGAAGGAUGAAGGCCCUAUGGGUCGUAAACUUCUUUUAUUAGGGAAGAAAAAACGGGAUGCGUCCUGUACUGACGGUACUUAAUGAAUAAGGAUCGGCUAACUUCGUGCCAGCAGCCGCAGUAA